UCUUAUAGUCUUACCACUCUGAACAUACUCGAUCUAGUCUGAUAUUGGAAGCUUAGCAGAGUUGGGCCUGGUUAAGAC
rnacentral:rRNA from 1 species